CACAACAAACACAUAUGCCACAUGGAGAUUUUGGCCUACUAAAUUUUGACCAUGCUGGAAUCCCAUCACAUUCCCCCCUUUGAUGCCUCUGAUAUAACAUUAUUCCAGAUGCAUCACCAAUCACAGUUUUACCUACAUCUCUCAAGUAGCCAUUGAACCAGAGUAGACCUUGUAAGCAUCUUAAAAACUCCUUCAACAUUCUUCAUCCUGAAUAUAUUCUCUUCGGGCUAGGGGAUCAUAUCUAUAGACAGCCAUUACAUGAGCCGCUGUCUUUCUCUCUAUAGUACUCUCUAUAAUACUACGUAGGGACCUUACCACUGGUGGAAUUAGACAGGGCAGGAGGAGGCACAAAAAAUAUAAUAAAUUCUACUCCUCCUACUAAUGUCUUAAUUCCUCCAAGCUGCUCAUACCAACUUCCAAACCAACUACUUAGGUUAUACCCAUUCCAGACCUGAGUAGGUACAUGCACAAAUUUAACCAUGUGGCUUGUAAGUUCAGCCACUGCCUUCCCUUCAUCAUCUAUGUGCAGACAACAGUUACUUAGAUUAAACUUUCCGCAUACACCUCCUUCUACUGCUAGUAAGUAAUCAAGGGCUAGCCUAUUCUGGUAUAUGGCUGAUCACAUCUUGGUAUUUUGCUUAGCUAGAAGAUUAAGCACUUGAGCUGUCUCAUUAGUAAUAAUCUCAACUACCGCCUGUAGUCUAAUAAUGCGGUUGAGCAUAUAUAUCGGAGUUCUAUAUCCAUAAGUGCCAUCUUCUGCCCAAGUAGCAGGUCCAUAAUAAUUAAUAAUACGUUGAGGGGGCCACUCAUUAUCUUCCCAGCUACCUAUAUUCAAGGAUGCUCUCUCCCUUUUAUGAUUUACAUCGUAAACCUUAACUCCCAAGGUCUCUCCUGUUUCGAUUGGCAACAAGAAGAAGGAUGGCUUUGGCAUACCUAAUACACAUGCCCCUUCCCAAUCUUGUGGUAACUCCAAAUAAGUUUUCUUACCACAAAUCCAGUAUAAAUUUGCUGGGGCUUUCCAACUAGAUGUAGCCGAUAAGUCAAACCAUACCUCCUUUAAAUGAGUGUAAUUGGCAAACGGAUUAGUAGGUUCCGAGACAUUUGAAGCUGACCACCAAG